CCUCGAAAAAAAAACAAAGCUGUUUUUUUCAUGUCAGUUGAGUAUAAUAUUCUUGUUCUACUUUUGUAUCCUUAAUAACCCACUUUGAGCAAUUAGUGGAGGAAAAACCGUAUUUGUAUUCUGCACUCAGUGGGGCCAUUUAUAUUUGGACAUCAUCAUAUCUGGUAGUUCACUGACAGUAGAAUCAGAUGGUAAAAUUGAUUCUCUUCUUAUUUCUUUUACAAAAUUCAUCACAAUCUUAUAGAUAUUACAAUAAGCUUCAGUGGUAGUGUUGAUCUUGAUUUCAUCAACAGGAGGUACAUUUGUAUGUACGUCUGUGUGUCUGUGUGUGCAACCAAAAUGGCAGCCUUUCAGAGUAAUUACAUAUUCUCUAGAUUCCUAGAGUCGCUUUUCCUUUAGUAUUGAAGCAAAAAAUUUAUUCAGUUAUCUUCUCACAUAUUAUUGGAAACCUAUCAUAUUUUCCCAUAGCUAUGCUGAUUCCUGUUGAGUUUGAUCAGUGGGGGGAUGUCACUUGCAUUUUUUCUGAUCGCUUCUGACUUCUAGUUCUUGCUCUGUUGAAUUACAAAGUUCUUCUCAACCUUUCAUUUCCUACCUGUAAGGCCAUAUUUCACUGUGCUUUACACUGUCCAAACUGUUUACUACUAAAGUCCUCUGAGUCUAGAAUAUGUGCAUAGCAGACUUUCCUGAAGGACUUGGGGGACUAAAGGAGAAUUAUAUAAAAUAGGCAACAUACUUGAUGUAAUCUAACCUUCAGUGUUAGACAGCCUUGGUCUUAAAAGUCACUUAUUCAUUCUCAUCGCAGUUAAUCAUCAUUGGUUAUAUAUUUGACUUUGCCUUCAGCCUAUUGCCAUGCUGUUGGACUUCCCUUUCUUCCUUCAACUGUUUUCCCUCUCUCUUCAGCUUGCUAAUCUCUAACCCAAAAUUCCUGUUCAUUUCUUCUAUAGAAUAGUUUAUUCAUAUCCUUGAGUUGAAGAAUAUUAACAAGAAUGGCUAUACUCAGCUUUGCUCUGAAGUUCUUAUCUCUGUUGCCAGAAUACCCCUUGAUAUAAUUUAUAUGGUCAACUCAUAACUUAAAAUGUUUUUCUAAAGAAUGAUACAUACUAAAAAUAUUAUAGAAUAAAUGAUAUGUCUGGGGCUUCCUUGAAAAUAAUCUGAGGGAGAAGAAUGGGUAAACAUAGAGGUGAAAUGAUAUUGACUAUGGGUUGUUUUGUCAAUAUUGUUGUGCUAUAUCAAUAUUGACCAUAAGUGUUGAAGCUAGGUGAUAGGUGCAUGGGGGUCCAUUAUAUUUGUUUACUUUACUUUUGUAUAUACUUAAAGUACUCCAUAAUAACAAGCUAAAUUUUUUUCUACUAUGUAUUGUAAUACGUAGUAUAUGUUCUAUAAAUAAUAGAUAAUUAUGUAGAUAAUUACUAUAAGCCAAUGUAAGAAAUUAAUAGACUAAAACUCAGGGUAAAAGCAAAUAUUGGAAGGGAGGCAAACUUAAGGGUACAUUGAAAAAAUUGUAAGGAGAGAUGCAAUGAUAACAAAUAUACUUGUUAGCUUCCAGGGCACAAAAAAUUACCAAAACUUAGUGGCUGAAAACAUCAGACGUUCAUUAUCCCAAAGCUGUGGGUCAGGAAUCGGGGCAAAGUUUAAGUGGAUUUCUCAGGAUCAAGAUGCUUUGCAAGGGUGUCAUGAAGUUGUUGGCUGGAGCACCAAUCAUACGAGGCUGGGCUAGAUGAAUAUCCACUUCCACAAACACAUUUAUGUAAUUCUUGGCAGGUCUCAGAUCCUCGCUGGCUGUUGUCCAAAGACAUCAGUUUCUUGUUCACAUGGUUCUCUCCAUAGGGAAACUCUACAACAUGGGAGAGAUUUCCCUUAAAGAGUGAUUGAGGGAGGAACUCCAGGUAGAAGCCACAGUCUUUUUGUAAUCUAAUCUCAGGUGACAGACACUUGCUUCUUCUAUAUUCUACUUUUUAGAAGUAUGUCAAUAAGUUAGGAGGAGGGUAUCAUUUGGGGCCAUGUUAGAGGGUGCCCACCAUAGUCUGCACUUUGGGCCUCAAUAAUUUACCUUUCUCUCACAUUCCAAAUACAUUCAUUCCCUCCCAAGGUCCCCAAAGUCUCAUGUCAUUAUAGCUAUCAGCUCAAAGUCCAGGAUCUCAUCAACUAAGUCAGAUCCCGGUACGGAAGAGAUUUCUCAGGGUGAGUUCCAAAGUUCAGCUCCUUAUAUGGAUUCUCUUACUAUAGAGACCUAUGAAAAUAGAAAUCCAGGUUCUCUGCUUCUCACACAUCAAUAUACUAUGGUGAAACAGGUAUAGGAUAAACACUAUAAAUAUUCCUUCAAAAACAGGGAAAAUGCAGGGGUUGGGCACAAAGGAGUCUCUGAUCCAUAACAAUUCUGAAAUCUAACUGGGCAAAUGUUGGAAAUUCCUUAAUUAGGUCUUAAGGCCUAGCAAUAAUUCUUUGUGGCUGUUGGCUCUGUCCUCUGGAAUUAUACUGUCAGCCCAGGCUCCUAUCUAUAUACCACCAGCUGGAUGCCUUAAACAACAGAAAUUUAUUUUCCCACACUUCUGGAGGCCAGAAGUCCAGGAUCAAGGUGUCAGCAAGGAGGUCUUUCUUCCUGGCUUGCAGAUGGCUGCCUCCUCACUGUGUCCUCAGAUGGUCUUUCCUCUGUGUGUGUGCAGAGAAAGAGGGGAGAGAGAGCGAGAGAGAGCACGCGCGUGAGAGAGAGGUGACUGUCCCUGUGGAAGACUCAAUAAGAGAAGGAAUGAUGCUCAGAAAUCCCCUGGCUCGCUGUCGCCUGAAUCAAGAGCUACAUUUUAAUAUUAGUGCUUGGAAGAUAAACGCUGCAGCCUCCAAGGGAGAUGAUCCUCACUGGGUAUCAAAUGACUCCAAGUGGGAGAACAGAGAAACGACUCAGCUGUUGACAAGCAGAGCUAAGUAAAUAUUUACGCCAGAAAUGUGCACAUUUGCUAUAAUAACAUCACCC
rnacentral:lncRNA from 10 species